rnacentral:lncRNA from 1 species
UUCAUCUUCUACGCUAUCAACACCUACAUCUUCUCUGCACCGCAAAACUCAGCCACUUCAUCUUCUCUGCUCUACGAAACUCAGCCCCUUCAUAUGGUUUGUUUUUCUAGUUCACUCGGUGGCUGCUGGUUCAUCAGGUAAGCACCCUCUGCUCUUCAUUGUUUUUUCUUGUGCUUUUUGAUUGCUGGGUUUUGAGCAUCGUAUGAAAAACUCAGCCGCUUCAUCUUGGUUAUAUAAUUAUCAAAUGAAUUGCGUAAUGGGUAUAUAAUUACGAAAACUCAGCCCCUGCAUAUAUUUCGCUCGUUGGCCACUGGUUUGUGAGGUGAGCCAGGCUCUACUUCAUAAUUUUUCCCCCCUUUUUGGUUGCUGGUGUUGGAGCCAACGUACAAGAAGCUUUUAAAAGAUUAAUUUUGUGAUAAUUAUAUACCAAUUAUGCAAUUCAUUUGGUUUCAAAAAAAAAUUCAAGAAAAAGAGAAGGAAGAAGGUUGAUUUGGCUGAAGCAUACCUCCAGCAUUUUGGUUCAUCAUAAGUUAAUUCCCAUCUUGCCUUUUAAAUUGAUCCUAUUUUCAAGCUAUGUCUCUGGACACUUGGCUACAAAGGCAAUUCUGGGAAUUUUUGGGUGUACAAAGACGUUUUUGGGGUGUGUAUCAAAAGCUAAUCACCCUUAUAUACAUAGGGAUGAAUGCUUUAUUGUUUGUCCACAGAUACACUAUUUAAUGAAUGCUUUAUUGGGUACUAAUAAUUUGGAAUAUGUUAAAUGGUGAAAUGGUUAAGAGUGGUGGUUAGAUGGGGAUGCUGUCCUAAAUGUUGAACAACUGCUUAUGAAUGGAGCCUUGUGUGUUGGUCAAACUGUGUAAAUGCUAUUAUUAUGUUAUAUAUCGAGAGUGCUUGCCUAUGUAGCUCAUGUCUAUGAGUCUAGCUAUUUUCAUUGUCAUAAUACAUUUCAUAUUUAAGCAUUUUGUUUCUUGAAACAUUGUUACUAGUUGUGGGUUUUGUUAUCUAGCCUAAUGUGAGAUUUGUAAUUUCCAGAUACAAUGUGCAGGUUUGCUUAAAACAGAUACCAAAAUGUAAGUGUAGGUGGGUGCGGGUAGUGAGGGAUCUUUGGUGGUUGACAUCUGACUUCUAUUUGAAGUGGUUUAUUCUUUGAGUAAUGAUGCUUGCAGCUUCUGUAAGAGUAUAGUGGCAUGCAUCUAAUAUCAGUAUCUAUAACUUCUAUUUUCACUUUUACAUUUGCAGGUAGAAUUGUGAUUGGAUUAUAUGGUUAGGUUGUACCAAAAACUGUUGGUACGUGUUCAUUUCAUGUUGGUUUGUUUGUGACAAAUGAAAUGGCAAGAGAGCUGGGAAAUAUUCUUCUUCUACAGGCCAAAAGUUAACAAAGAGGAAGCUCACAGCCCAGAUGAUGUUCUAGUGAAAAAGGUGCAAAGAAGAAGGGAUCAAAUUCUAGUGAAAAAGGUUCUAGCGGUAGUCAAAGUAGUGAAGGUGGGCAUGGUAGGCAGGAAGUGAACAUUGAGAACCAACCAUUGCUGAGGUUCAUAGUGAUGGGAAGGAAAUCCUAUACUAUGAAAAAUUAUGUAUUAUUUUUCCCCAAAAAUCUUUUUUAUAUGACCCAAAAUUCUAUGAAGUUUGUAUGAGGUUCUGCAUUAUUAACAUCAUUGUGCAUUCUUCAUCAUGUUCUGACAUGGAGAGAGCUUACUGGAAAGUAUGCAUCAUGAUAAAUGACUUCG